rnacentral:rRNA from 1 species
GACGAACGCUGGCGGCGUGCUUAACACAUGCAAGUCGAACGAUGAUGCCCAGCUUGCUGGGUGGAUUAGUGGCGAACGGGUGAGUAACACGUGAGUAACCUGCCCCUGACUCUGGGAUAAGCGUUGGAAACGACGUCUAAUACUGGAUAUGAUCACUGGCCGCAUGGUCUGGUGGUGGAAAGAUUUUUUGGUUGGGGAUGGACUCGCGGCCUAUCAGCUUGUUGGUGAGGUAAUGGCUCACCAAGGCGACGACGGGUAGCCGGCCUGAGAGGGUGACCGGCCACACUGGGACUGAGACACGGCCCAG